CUAAACUCCAUUCGUGGAUAUGGUC
rnacentral:piRNA from 1 species